AGUGAACGCUGGCGGUAGGCCUAACACAUGCAAGUCGAACGGCAGCACAGUAAGAGCUUGCUCUUACGGGUGGCGAGUGGCGGACGGGUGAGGAAUACAUCGGAAUCUACUUUUUCGUGGGGGAUAACGUAGGGAAACUUACGCUAAUACCGCAUACGACCUACGGGUGAAAGCAGGGGAUCUUCGGACCUUGCGCGAUUGAAUGAGCCGAUGUCGGAUUAGCUAGUUGGCGGGGUAAAGGCCCACCAAGGCGACGAUCCGUAGCUGGUCUGAGAGGAUGAUCAGCCACACUGGAACUGAGACACGGUCCAGACUCCUACGGGAGGCAGCGGGGGGAAAUAUGGACCAAUGGGGGCAAGCCUGAUCCAGCCAUCCGGGGUGGGUGAAGAAGGCCUUCGGGUUGUAAGGCCCUUUUGUUGGGAAAAAAAGGCAGCAGGUUAAUACCCCGCUGUUCUGACGGUACCCAAAGAUUAAGCACCGGCAACUUUCGU
rnacentral:rRNA from 1 species